rnacentral:rRNA from 1 species
CCUACGGGGGGCAGCAGUAGGGAAUAUUGCUCAAUGGGGGAAACCCUGAAGCAGCAACGCCGCGUGGAGGAUGAAGGUUUUCGGAUUGUAAACUCCUUUUGUUAGAGAAGAUAAUGACGGUAUCUAACGAAUAAGCACCGGCUAACUCCGUGCCAGCAGCCGCGGUAAUACGGAGGGUGCAAGCGUUACUCGGACUCACUGGGCGGAAAGAGCGCGUAGGCGGGAUAGCAAGUCAGAUGUGAAAUCCUAUGGCUUAACCAUAGAACUGCAUUUGAAACUGUUAUUCUAGAGUAUGGGAGAGGUAGGUGGAAUUCUUGGUGUAGGGGUAAAAUCCGUAGAGAUCAAGAGGAAUACUCAUUGCGAAGGCGACCUGCUAGAACAUAACUGACGCUGAUGCGCGAAAGCGUGGGGAGCAAACAGGAUUAGAUACCCUAGUAGUC